CCCGGCUUCACCCCUCUGACCUCUCGGGCGCCUGGAAUGAAGGAGGAACUGGCUGCCUCAUCCCUCUACACCCUGGGAUGUUGGUCUUUGAGUGAGUCUCAUAGUAAGAUGCCACCUCUGGUUCUCCUGGUAACCCCUUUGGAUGCUGCAGGGCCAUCGAUCUCCCCUUUCUUGAUCACUCAGUACCCAUUGUUUUGGCAGUUCAUUCUUUUUAUUAUUAUUUAUUAUGCACUACUUCUACUUGCCAUCUGGUGUAUGUGUAUGAGUGUGUAUCAUGUAUGAAUGUGUGGUUGGGUAUAUAUAUGUAAGGGAAAGAGAGAACUCAGGAUUAUAAAUUGUUUGAGGGCAGAGGCCAUGAUUUCCACAUCUUCAUUCUUUGCCAGCCCUCCGGUUUCAGCAAAGCUAAAACUCCAUUUGUCAUCCUCAAUUCUGAUCCAAUUCUACUAACAACUUUCUGAGUGCAUAAGACAUACUUCUCUCCUUCUGCAUUACCAAUUCUUUAGUGGUAUCACCUAAACCAUUCUCCUUUGGGACACUCAGAUGCAAAUUUUUGGAACCAUUGGUCAUUGGAUCCUAACACUGGUUUUCUUUUCAAGUUUUGGCCUGUGUCUUUCCACUCCCACUGCUGCCACCCUAGGCGGCAUCCCCAUCACUUCCCUCCUGAACAAUUCUAUCCCUCUGCUGACUCAUCUGCUUAUGGCUCCUUGUCCCUUCAAACCACCCAAUGUCAAUCACUUAUGUGAGUUCUUUUUAUCCUGUCACUUCUACUCAGAAGCCUUCAAUGACCACUUUUAAAGGGCCAUUAUUAAAUGAAGUGCUAACUUUUUAUCUUGGCAUGUGGGUUCCUCCUUUACUCAGUCCCAACCCAUCCAUCUUCGUGUUUUAUAUCACACAACUUCCUAAUUAAUAUACCUGACUCCAAUUGGUAUAUGCACCAACCCCAGGACACAGUCUGUGUUCUCAUGCCUUCUCCACUUACUAGCUGUGUAAUCUUGGAUAAUUUGCCUACCUGUUUCAUCUCUGCCCCUCAUCCACAAAGUGGGGGUAACACUAAUAAUAUCUGCUUUAUAGGAUGGUUUUGAGAGCAAAGCUGACGCAUGAAUGCCACGACUGCCAUUGAUCUGCUCACAGCAUUGCACCUGGACACAACUCUGCAAAGCAGCGCCUGUCGGCUCCCAAGUACUGUCAGCUGAGGUGGACCAAUCGGGCUGAAGGGUCUACUGCCAAGAUGGCUCACCACAUACCUAGCAAGUGGGUGCCAUUGGCAGAAACUCAGCUAGGACGAUGGUCCUGGAGUAUGAACUAGCCUCCAUUUGGACUUUCCAUGUGGCUUCUUGGACUUCCUCACAGCAUGUCUGCUGGGUUCUAAGAGAAAAGAAGCAGAAAUUGCCAGUCUUCUUAAAGGCCAGGCCUGGAACUAACUAGCACAGCAUAACUUCCACAAUCUGCUUCUUGUCAAAGCAGUGAUAGGCCAGCCCGGAUUCAAGGAAGUGAAGAAAUAAACUCCACCUCUCCAAGAGGGAGAGGACUGUGCACAGAAGGAAAAAAUGGUUGGGAACCACCUUUUGAGACAAGUUACAACUGAAGGGUCUUUGUGACCCCUUAUCAUAUCCAGUAGAGGAGAUGCUCAACAAAUAUUUCACAUUUCCUGAACUCUUAAGGCCUGGAACAUUCAUCUAUCAAAGGAUCGCUUGGAUUGCCGUCUUGAAUUGUUGGCUGAGGUUCGGCUAAUCUAAGCUGGCACGGUUCCAAGCUGGGAUCUGGGUCCAGGUCGGCUCCACUUGUCUUUCAUCUUUCUUAGACCAGCAGGUACUCAAGGUAUGUUCUCCUCAGGCCACAUUUUGCUAACAUUCCAUUGGCCAGGGCAGCACGUGGCCACACCC